GAACUGAAGAGUUUGAUCAUGGCUCAGAUUGAACGCUGGCGGCAGGCCUAACACAUGCAAGUCGAGCGGAUGAGAGGAGCUUGCUCCUGGAUUCAGCGGCGGACGGGUGAGUAAUGCCUAGGAAUCUGCCUGGUAGUGGGGGACAACGUUUCGAAAGGAACGCUAAUACCGCAUACGUCCUACGGGAGAAAGCAGGGGACCUUCGGGCCUUGCGCUAUCAGAUGAGCCUAGGUCGGAUUAGCUAGUUGGUGAGGUAAUGGCUCACCAAGGCGACGAUCCGUAACUGGUCUGAGAGGAUGAUCAGUCACACUGGAACUGAGACACGGUCCAGACUCCUACGGGAGGCAGCAGUGGGGAAUAUUGGACAAUGGGCGAAAGCCUGAUCCAGCCAUGCCGCGUGUGUGAAGAAGGUCUUCGGAUUGUAAAGCACUUUAAGUUGGGAGGAAGGGCUGCUGGUUAAUACCCUGCAGUUUUGACGUUACCAACAGAAUAAGCACCGGCUAACUUCGUG
rnacentral:ncRNA from 1 species